UACAGAGGUCUCAAGCGUUGUUCGGAUUCAUUGGGCGUAAAGGGUGCGUAGGCGGCGCGGUAAGUCGGGGUGUGAAAUCUUGGAGCUUAACUCCGAAACUGCAUUCCAUACUGCGGUGCUUUGAGGACUGGAGAGGAGACUGGAAUUUACGGUGUAGCAGUGAAAUGCGUAGAGAUCGUAAGGAAGACCAGUGGCGAAGGCGGGGUCUCUGGACAGUUCCUUGACACUGAGGCACGAAGGCCAGGGGGAGCAAACGGGG
rnacentral:rRNA from 1 species